AAAACCGAGACUUCCUGCCGAAAAUUCGGCAAAGUCUCCCCUAUAAAUUGGACAUUUCCCAAAAUUUAUACCUGCAUAAAAAUGCAUUUAAUAUUUCCAACUGGCAGCAUGCACAAUAUAAUUCAUGCAAUUCACAAAAAUGGCCUUCGGCCUUCCAAUAAUUCUUAAACGAUUAUCAAACAAUUCAAAUACCAAAAGAUGACUAAUAUUUAGUCUGCGG
rnacentral:lncRNA from 1 species